GAUGAACGCUAGCUACAGGCUUAACACAUGCAAGUCGAGGGGUAACGAGAGGAAAGCUUGCUUUCCUUGUCGACGACCGGCGCACGGGUGAGUAACGCGUAUCCAACCUGCCCCCAACUAGGGAAUAACCUUGCGAAAGUAAGACUAAUACCCUAUAAUUUCCUCAGAUGCCAUCUGACGAGGAAUAGAGAUUUAUCGGUUGUGGAUGGGGAUGCGUCUGAUUAGCUUGUUGGCGGGGUAACGGCCCACCAAGGCAACGAUAAGUAGGGGUUCUGAGAGGAAGGUCCCCCACAUUGGAACUGAGACACGGCCCAAACUCCUACGGGAGGCAGCAGUGAGGAAUAUUAGUCAAUGGGCGGAAGCCUGAACCAGCCAAGUAGCGUGCAGGAUGACGGCCCUAUGGGUUGUAAACUGCUUUUAUACAGGAAUAAAGUUAGCCACGUGUGGUUAUUUGUAGGUACUGUAUGAAUAAGGACCGGCUAAUUCCGUGCCAGCCGCCGCCGUAA
rnacentral:rRNA from 1 species